rnacentral:rRNA from 1 species
CCCUAUGGGGUGCAGCAGGCGGUUGGGUGUGUUAGGUGUGAAAUCUCGGGGCUUAACCCCGAAACUGCGCCUAAAACUAUCCAACUUGAGUUUUGGAGGGGUAAGCGGAAUUCUAGGUGUAGCGGUGAAAUGCGUAGAUAUCUAGAGGAACACCAAUGGCGAAGGCAGCUUACUGGCCAAAAACUGACGCUCAUGCACGAAAGCGUGGGGAGCAAAAA